GACAGAGGCCACAAGCGUUAGGCGGAAUCACUGGGCUUAAAGCGUGUGUAGGCGGAUCGUUAAGUGUCCUGUGAAAUCCCCCGGCUCAACCGGGGAACGGCAGGGCAAACUGGCGGUCUUGAGUUGCUCAGGGGCGACUGGAACAAGCGGUGGAGCGGUGAAAUGCGUAGAUAUCGCUUGGAACGCCAAUGGUGAAGACAGGUCGCUGGGGGCAAACUGACGCUGAGACACGAAAGCCAGGGGAG
rnacentral:rRNA from 1 species